CGGCACGUCAGUCACGCACCGGCCGCGGACCGAGGCGGACGUGUCUUGGUCAUGGCGUACCUAGUGGGCUCUUUGCGCGCCCUAACCUCUCUCCCGGGGAGUAACCUGCGUGCGCUGAGCAACGCAGCUUGCGAGUUGACCCGCGACCUCGCCUACGUGAACGGCGAGUGGGUAGGUGCGUCGUCGGGUGCGACCUUCCCCGUGUCUAAUCCCUUCGACCUUUCAACCGUCGGUCAUGCGCCCGACAUGUCGCCGAGCGACGCGGAAACCGCCAUAGACGCCGCCGCGUGUGCCUUCGAGCGCCACCGCGGCGCGACUGCGCGGGAACGCGCCGAGUGGCUGCGCGCUUGGCACGCGCAGCUGCGCGCGCAGGCCACGCCCCUCGCCGAGAUUCUGGGCGCGGAGGGGGGAAAGUCAGUAGCGGAGGCGCAGGCCGAGGUGGCGUAUGGGAACUCGUUCGUCGAGUGGUUCGCCGAGGAGGCGCGACGAUCGAAUGCCGGCGAGGUCGUACCGGCGCCUACGCGGGGCCGCCAACUACUGACGGUGCGCCAGCCCGUCGGGGUGGCGGCGCUCAUCACCCCUUGGAACUUUCCACACGCCAUGGUUGCGCGGAAGGCCGCGGCGGCGCUCGCGGCGGGGUGCAGCUGCGUAGUUAAGCCCUCGGCCGACGCGCCGCUGACGGCGCUGGCGAUGGCAGUGCUCGCCGAGCGCGCCGGACUGCCGGCCGGCCUGCUGAACGUCGUGACGGCGGGCCCCGAGGGCUCCGUCGCUAUAGGCGAGACCCUGUGCGCCAGUCCGCGCGUGCGCGCGCUCUCCUUUACCGGCUCCACCGCCGUCGGCAAGAUUCUUUACCGACAGUGCGCCUCCACCGUUAAGAAAAUCGCUCUGGAACUUGGUGGAGACGCGCCUUUCGUUGUUUUCGAAUCGGCCGACCCUCAGGCUGCCGUCAAUGGUGCCCUUGUAAGCAAAUUCCGCAACAAUGGACAGACCUGCGUCGCUGCAAACCGUUUCUACGUCCAGGAGAAGCUCUACGGGAACUUUGUUGAGGAGCUGGUGCAACGUUCGAAGUCUGAAAUCACGCCGGGGCCCCUCAUCAAGGAAAGUCAGCUGAUCGGUGUUGAGGGACUCGUUAACGAUGCUGUAAAAAAGGGCGCGAAAUUACACUGCGGAGGAUCUAGGCUUCCUGAGGUGGGUCCUCUCGUUUAUGCACCUACCAUCCUGACCGAUGUCGACCCUUCUAUGGAAAUAUACACCAAAGAGAUUUUUGGACCCGUUGCUGUGAUUCAUCGGUUCCAAAAUGAAGAAGAGGCUCUCCAACUUGCAAACUCGACUACUCUUGGCUUGGCUGGGUAUUUUUAUUCCCGCGAUCUCGCUCAGGUCUUCCGGGUGGCACGUCGUCUCGAAGUUGGCAUGGUGGGUGUCAACGAAGGACUCAUCUCCUGCGCAGAAGCUGCCUUCGGUGGUGUUAAAGAGUCAGGAAUUGGUAGAGAAGGAUCCACACAUGGCCUCGAGGACUAUCAGGACAUCAAGUAUAUAUGCAUCGGUGGCCUCACCGAGUAGAUCGAGGGGCUAUUCACUGGGAAAUCUGUGAAAAUGAUUUUCUUCCUUAAGAACCGAUUGCCUUUUAUUUCGUACGAUAAAUAAUAAUGCGAUUGGGUAACAAAAGGCCUUAAAAUUGUAACAAUAAAUUCCAAUGAUUUUUUUUCUUGCAAUUUUCAGCUGAUUUUCAUGUGAUUUAGAGUAUUAAAAUCUACGAUUUCCUGAAUGAAUAACCCCUCGGAGUAGAUCGCAUCCGGUACUGGAGCUUUCGGCCUUUAUCCACGUCUUCCUCGCGUCUUUAACGAGGCGGCUUCGUCCCGGAUUGGACAUCUCACUUAAGGAUUGUGCUUCUGCUAAGUGGAAGCUUUACGAACAAAUUACCUCAACUGGCUUAACCAGGGUUAAUACCUUCCGUAGUUUAGAGAUCGACAUAUAUGUAUCUAGUACAUUGAGUUACGCACCAAUUUCAUGCGAGGGUUAAUAAUAGUCCCUCACAGUAUACAUUGUUAUGUCAACGAGUCAUGACACAGUUUAUAAAGCUACAGGAAUUUUUAACUUUUCAAAUGUUGCAAUUCUUUUGUUACAUAUUUUAAUACUUUUAUUUUUUUCAUCUAU